UACUGCUACUGCUCAGAUCACAGACCCACAAGGCUUUAGUUUAGAUGGCUAAAGUUUCAUGCAAGAAUCUUCUUCUUGUGGCCUUUUUCUUGCUUUGCUUUGUUUCCAUUGGUGCAAGAGGUAAUUAAUUUCUAUUAGUUUCUUUCUUGAUUCUUGAAUCUUUAAAGUUGGCCAAGAUUUGAUGAUCAUAUGCAAUUGCAGAGCUAUUCCUUUAACAGUUUUUCUCCCUUCUCUUUGCAGCAAGGAGUUUGCGAGUGGCAAAAAACAUUAAUGAAGUAGAGAAGAUCAAGGACCAUGAAGAUAAUUCCUUCACAUCCAAAGGAAAUGGGGCGCCCCCAGAUGCUGAAGAAUUACUGGGGAUGGACUAUACUGGCCCCAAAAAAAAUCCUCCAAUUCAUAAUUAAAAUGGGAAAAUUUUGUCAAGCAACUUCAAGAGUUCCCUCUUAUGUUUGACGAUUUUGAGCUUUCAUCCAUAGUUAGAUACGUCUAGGAAGAAAAAUUAAAAUAGCUAGAUUUUUAUUUAUAUAUAUGUAUAUAUAAAAAAUAUAUAUGGUUUUAUAAACAUGGUAGAAGUGUAAACUUGCAAGAAGUGAUGAAUAUUGCACUAGGUUCUAGUCUGCAUGGAGUCUUUCUGUAAAUUAACAGGGGAGUGUUGGCUUGUGACACCUUAAUGAGUUACAGAAUACAAAAGUAC
rnacentral:misc_RNA from 1 species